rnacentral:rRNA from 1 species
AUUGAACGCUGGCGGCAGGCCUAACACAUGCAAGUCGAACGAGAGGCGGACGGGUGAGUAAUGUCUGGGAAACUGCCUGAUGGAGGGGUAUAACUACGGGAAACGGUAGCUAAUACCGCAUACCAUCGGAUGUGCCCAGAUGGGAUGAGCUAGUAGGUGGGGUAAAGGCUCACCUAGGCGACGAUCCCUAGCUGGUCUGAGAGGAUGACCAGCCACACUGGAACUGAGACACGGUCCAGACUCCUACGGGAGGCAGCAGUGGGGAAUAUUGCACAAUGGGCGCAAGCCGGAUGCAGCCAUGCCGCGUGUAUGAAGAAGGCCUUCGGGUUGUAGAGUACUUUCAGCGGGGAGGCGUUACCCGCAGAAGAAGCACCGGCUAACUCCGUGCCAGCCGCCGCGAUAAUAC